UUCUCCUUUUCCUCCUCCUCCUCUCUACAAUCCCUCCCUUCUAGCACUGAUGACGUUCCCUACUUGGGUCAUGAAACGUCUGCAAGGAAACUCCGAAGCUCAGAGACCCCCAAGGACGCCCUCCAUUCAACCCUGCGCUACCAAUAUUCUCCUUUACUGGUAGGCAAACGUGCUCAGCGAAAUAAUUCCUUUGCAAAAUCCUCUUUUUU